GGUUGGCUAGUGUAACGGUUAGCACGGCAGAUUUUGAGCACUGGAAACACUAUCUUCGUAUGCCAUUGGAUGUUGUCUUCUGCAAAUCUGGGUUCGAUUCCCAGGCCGACCU